CAGGAAUGGAGGAAUGGAAUCAAAGGGAGAUGUUUUUGAUGUUUUUGUAAUGAUGUAAGUAAAUCUUCAAUAUUAUUUAUUUGCUUCGUUAUAUUAGGAGUGUUUCUGAGUGAGGGAGAGAGGAGUCAUCAUCCAGGUAAAGUGACGUGGAUCAGUGGAUACACUUGUCUCCCCUUUAAAGGAGAUACUCUUAGAGAGAGACGAUCUGAGUCAUCCUUAAAUAUGGGCAGGAUAUCAGUCUUGGACUGUCUAACCUGCCGGAGCAGCAAUGAAUGACCACCACACAUGAGCAUGUUCCUGCAACAUUCAGCAUCUGAUCUGCCAUCUGUGUGCUUCUGCUUUUGCUGGAGAGGAAACUACACCAGUGUGCUGGGAUGUUUCAUCAACAUGUGCCAGACGCUGUUCCUUCAUGGUGACAUCACCAGAGACAGCCCCGCCCACCUCAGGACCUCGCCAUUGAUCACGAUGAUUAUAAUAAUGACAGCGAGUGGAACUAAGACUGUAAAAAUCCACGACCAGUGUUUAGAUGCUUUCUAAUUAUUAAUGAAUACUGAGAGCCUCUUUCUGUGUUUUGUCUGUUUUGUUUUGUUUUUACCUCAUUUGUUACUAACAAAGUUCACCAAACUCACACAGUUUACAUUCUGUAUGUUUCCAUCUUUACCAGCCACACUCUAACUGCAAUUAAGAAAACAAACCUUAGAAAUCGUCGUUUUUCUCUUUUGUAAUUGAUGAUAAUUCAGUGAAUAUACUGCGCUGCUUCCUUUUAUUGUGUCACACAUUGCUUUACGUUUUUCAGUGUCCAGUUAUUUUUUACUGUUGUUUGAAUUCUCUGUAUGUUUGACCCUGUAGACUGUUUGAUGGACUGCUUGUCUUCCUGUUUGUAACCACCGCCUG